rnacentral:rRNA from 1 species
CAAAAACAUCGCCUCUUGCCCAAAAUAAGAGGUCCAGCCUGCCCAGUGACACAUGUUCAACGGCCGCGGUAUCCUAACCGUGCGAAGGUAGCGUAAUCACUUGUUCUUUAAAUGAGGACUAGUAUGAAUGGCAUCACGAGGGCUAUACUGUCUCCUUUUUCUAAUCAGUGAAACUAAUCUCCCCGUGAAGAAGCGGGGGUAAAACUAUAAGACGAGAAGACCCUAUGGAGCUUUAAAUUUUUACUCAAAUACCCCCCACUCUCCCAACUUCCUAGUAUCACACACUAUUUUGGUAUAAUGAGGUAAAAUUUUAGGUUGGGGUGACCGCGGAGUACAAAAAAACCUCCACAUUGAAACAGGCCUAUAAGCCUCAAGAAGUGGAUUACGAUCCUACUCAUUAAAAAAUUAACAUCUAUUGACCCAAAUUUUUGAUCAACGAACCAAGUUACCCUAGGGAUAACAGCGCAAUCCCCUUUAAGAGUCCCUAUCGCCAAGGGGGUUUACGACCUCGAUGUUGGAUCAGGGUAUCCCAGUGGUGCAGCCGCUACUAAUGGUUCGUUUGUUCAACGAUUAAAACCCU